UACGUAGGGUGCAAGCGUUGUCCGGAAUUAUUGGGCGUAAAGAGCUCGUAGGCGGUUUGUUGCGUCGGCUGUGAAAUCCCGAGGCUCAACCUCGGGUCUGCAGUCGAUACGAGCAAACUAGAGUGUUGCAGGGGAGACUGGAAUUCCUGGUGUAGCGGUGAAAUGCGUAGAUAUCAGGAGGAACACCGGUGGUGUAAACGGCUUUCUGGACCAUUUCUGACGCUGAGGCACGAAAACGUGGGUAGCAAACAGG
rnacentral:rRNA from 1 species